rnacentral:rRNA from 1 species
CUACGGGGGGCACCAGUGGGGAAUAUUGCACAAUGGGCGCAAGCCUGAUGCAGCCAUGCCGCGUGUAUGAAGAAGGCCUUCGGGUUGUAAAGUACUUUCAGCGGGGAGGAAGGGAGCAAAGUUAAUACCUUUGCUCAUUGACGUUACCCGCAGAAGAAGCACCGGCUAACUCCGUGCCAGCAGCCGCGGUAAUACGGAGGGUGCAAGCGUUAAUCGGAAUUACUGGGCGUAAAGCGCACGCAGGCGGUUUGUUAAGUCAGAUGUGAAAUCCCCGGGCUCGACCUGGGAACUGCAUCUGAUACUGGCAAGCGUGAGUCUCGUAGAGGGGGGUAGAAUUCCAGGUGUAGCGGUGACAUGCGUAGAGAUCUGGAGGAAUACCGGUGGCGAAGGCGGCCCCCUGGACGAAGACUGACGCUCAGGUGCGAAAGCGUGGGGAGCAAACAGGAUUAGAUACCCGCGUAGUC